rnacentral:lncRNA from 1 species
GGGACCGGGAGGAUGAAUCCUCCCGUAAGGAUGGAAGGACAUCCAGGGAACCUGGGUCCCUGAGGAUUUCCCGGAGCAGCAGUACCAGGAGCCCGGCCUGCCCACCUCCCUGCUUCCGCAGGAGAGAAGAUGCCCGAUGUUGCUGAGACGGCUCCUGUCCUGCAUUUCUCACUCCCUUCCAACCUAAUCCUGUUCCUCUGCUUCACUUGCCUGUCAAACACACAAGAGCACCUGCCUUAAUGCCUCACGUCUCUGUUCGCCUCUUCUUAGCCACAGAUCUUUAUUUAGCACCCACUUUGUUCAGUGCUGGUCAGAGCUGAGGGAGACUGUCAUGAGCAAGAUCGCCGAGCUCCUGCUCGGUGCGGAGUAGCCUGUGGCACGGGGAGACGCCGGCAGCGUGACUAGACGAGAUCAUUCUGGGUGGUAAUGAGCACUGUGUAGUAACCAAAACGGGACUGUAUUAUUUUCCUUUCACUGCUGUACCAAAUUAUCACCAACUUAGUGGCCUAAACAGCCUACAUUUAUCACCUUCCAGUUCUGGAGGUCAGAAGUCUGCCAUGGGCCUCACGGGCUAUAGUCAGGCGGCCCUUUCUGGAGGCCCUACGGGAGAACCUGGUCUUGCGUCUUCCUAUAACGUGGGCUGCCCACACUCGUUCUUACGCUCCUUCCUCCACCUUCAACACCAGCAGUGGAGUGUUGAAUCUGUUGUCCUAUGCAUCUGAGCUGACCAUCCUGCCUCUGUCUUCCGCUUUUAAGGGUCCUUAUGAUUAUGUGGGCCCCACCCAGGUAAUCCCGAAUAAUCUCUCCAUUUUAAGGUCAUCUGAUUAGCAGCCUUUAAUGUACCUGCUAUGGAAAUCACCCUUGGCAAUGUACAAGGACCGCCCAUGGCUUCCUGGAAUGAAGAGGAGGACAUCUUUGUGGGCUUUAUUUGGCCUGCCUUUAUUCUGCUUUAUUCUGUGUGCUGGGGAGACUUAGACAUUGAGGUGUCCUUCAGGGAGUGUGGUGACAGGAGGCCUCUGCAAGGAGCAACAUCUACUGGGAGGAACAGGCCCGCCAGGGUUCUAUCAGGUAUACCAGAUGCCCUGAGGCCAGACCGAGGCCCUGCUGUGUGCAGAAACAGAAUGGGACCUAGUGGGUGCAAGGAGCGUCCAAGGCAAGGUGGGAGGUGCACAGGGGCCCUUGGGCUUGGAUCUCCUCUCUGUGGAGUGGAACCCAUCAGAGGUUUUGAACAGCAAAGUAAUGUCAUGUGGCGUGCAGUGUAAAGAUCGUUUUUUUGCUAUGUAGACCAUGGCUUGUAAAGGGCAAUGGAGUAAAAAAGGAGAAUGAACCACUAGAAGGGAGCUGCAGUAACAGGUUAAAGAAAGUUGAUUAGGGUGGUGCCAUUACAUUUUGAGAAAUGAGAAUGGGUUUAGGAUAUAUCCUGAAGAGAGAGGCACUGAACUUGCUAAUGAACUAACAGAGAGUGAGGAAAAAGAAGAAUUGAAAGUGAAUCUGGGAAUUUGACUCAAGAGACUGAUUGGCUGAUCACGGUACUUACUGUAAAACAGAGAAGUGGGUGAGAAGUGGAUUUGCAGUGGAAGCCACGAGUCUGCACAGGUUGGGGUAAGCAUGAGGUAUCUCGUAGGGUUCCCAGUGAGAUGAUGAGGUUUGUGCAAGUCGGCUUGGCUACCUUAACAACACGCCUUGGAUGUGUAGCUUGGACAACCAGCAUUUUUUUUUCUCACAGUUCUGGGGGCUAGAAGUCCAUGAUAAGGUCCUGGGAUUGGAGAGGCCCAAUCCCAGGAGAGGGCCCUUCUCACCAUGUCCUUAGAUAGUGCUUCCUGUGCAAGUGUGGAGAGAGAGCUCUCUGGCACCUCCUCCUCUUCAGAAAGGACACCAGUCCCAUCACAGUGGGACACCCAGAGCCCUUCCUGAUCUGGCUCCAUUUCCCUCUUCACACUCACUUCUUCCCACUUCCUUCUUCACCCACAUUGGACCCUUACCAUUUUUCGUGGUCAUGCCAUAGUUCAACUUCAACAUACACAAACGCUGUUCCUUCACCAAUAGCACCUUUCUCUACCUGGAGCAUGGAUGAGAACCAACAAGGGCCAAUCAAUGGGUGGAGUGGAGAGGAAAGAAUAGUCAGGGACAGAGCCAAGGUCUUCAGGGAAGGAAGAUGUUUGCUCUGAGAAGAACAAGAAUGUCAUGCGACAGGUCAGAUGAUGCCACCAGGGCUAAGAAUUGGGUCUUGACAGGUGGAUGUUAGAAAAAAGGCAUAUCAGGGACACCUGGAUGGCUCAGUUGGUUAAUCAUCUGACUCUUGGUUUCAGCUCGGUCAUGAUCUCACAGUCAUGGGAUCAAGCCCUGUGUCUGGCUCUGAGGUCAGUGUGGAGUCUACUUCAGAUUCUCUCUCUCUCUCUCUCUCUCCUACUCUCUCUCUCUCUCUCUCUCUCAAAUACAUAAAUAAAAUCUUAAAAAAAGAAAAAGAAAGAAGGGCAUUUCAUUCAUCAGCAAUGACAUAAAGAGGAAGGGUUGGCAUGGGGGAAAGAAAGCAGAGCCACACUGGGGAACCUGCUGGACCACUCUAGUUAGACACAGACUCUUUCCAGGAAGCACAGAGCGUAGCUGGCAAGAAAGUCCUCCUUCCUCUUGAACCGGCCUCCAUGACAUCUCUAUUUGUGAAGUGCAUUUGGCAUAAAUGAUACUGCUGGCUUCAUCUUUCUCACCUGUGAAAUAGCAUUUGUGCUCCAAACCAGGAAAUACAGCACUAAAUUACAUAGUUUGUCCUCCAAUUCUUCCAUAUGCCUUAGUUUUAAAUCCUAAACCAGCGGAUGCUCAGACUUCAGUUAUGCAGCACGUACUUCUGGAGCAUGUACAAUGUGUCCAACACUGCCUGGUGAUGGUCUUGAGGAGGGAAUGGUCAGCACUAUUCAAGGCAAGUAAACAAGAAAGACAGGCAGAAAAUGUCCUCUGCAUUUAGCAACCAGGAAGUUCCUGAUGUGCUUGCUGAUUAAUCUAUGGCCUGUGGGCAAAUGAAAUAAAUGAGGAAAAUGUUCAUGAUGGUAAAAUUCUUUUUGUGAUGUGUUGAAGAAUUUGGGGUUAAUAAACUAAUUUAGAAGCUG